GAUGUUAUUCAUGAUGUAACUCUGAUGGAGAUUGUACCGAAUAUUUGAACCCACGGCAGCAAGUUUCUUACGCACUCUUUUCUUUACCAGGGUACCGAAGGGGACUGGAAGGUUUUUAAUGAGGCGGCUUGCUUGCUUAAUAUAUUUUAUUUCAAAAAAAAAGAGGUCUACUAGUGAAAAAGUCUAUGCAUUGGUUCAAAUUAAUGGUCAAAAUUAUGGCUCACCACGUUAAUUUCGUUUCUAUUUCCCAGACUCGCUCGUACCCAACAUUAAUUGAUGUAAUUACCCCCAAGAGAUGGUGUUACAUCGCCCUUUGGCGUCCAGGCCCCCAAUCCUCUCCUUGCGCCCUCCUCAAUCGAUUCCGGCCAGCUCCGGCACCACCUUCACCUUCUCCACCGAACACAUUGCUUAGAAUCGUCGCUUUGGAGCACCUCCCGACGAUUCCUACCUAACUCCGGCGCUCGAUCCCGACUACCCAACUCCCGAUGCAGCUCGCCGCCCCCCGUGAACGGGCCACCGGCCCCGCGCGCCGGCAGUGACGCCGCCCUGGUGCCUCACCUCUGCAUCCCUCCUUCGGUGGCCAAGAGCAUUUCGACGCGACGGUGAAGCUCGGUGACGGCCGCGUCCGGCUGGCGGAGCGGUUGUGGCAGCAGUCCGCGGGUGCGCAGGGCUGGCGGCGGGGAGGGGUUGGGGACGUGAUGCUGGUCGCCCCGAGAUGCUCCCGGCGGCCACGACCCCUACCUCCUGCCGCCUGCCAUCGCUCCAACCUUCCGUUGGCGGCUACCUCCCCUCCUGCCGGCGGUGGUUGCUCGUACUGCCUCUCCCAAAUGGCGGCACGGUGAUGCUAGCCCUACAAGACACCGUGUUGCAUAGCCUCACUGUCCUCCAAGGCAGCAGAAGGUGGAGAUAUGGGCUAGUGAUAAAAUACAACAAGACGAUCGUACAUUCAUAGGAAAGUGGGAUGUACAAGACAUUAUUGUGUCAUCUCUACAGCUUUGUGGACCUGAAAAUUCAAGGAGCUUGGAAGAGGCACCAAGACACAUGAAACGACAGUUCCCAAGUCCUAUCCGCUGUGAAGAAGGUGAUGCUAAGCUGGGCAAAGACGGCACGGACUGUGGCGCAGGGUGGUGCUGCGCAAAGUUGCUCAACGUCGCCGCCGGUCCAGCAACUCCGACUUUGGUGCUGCGGAGGUUGAGGACGACCACCAACAAGGGCCCACCAAGUCCAAGAACGAGGCAGUUUCACCACCGGCAACAGCACCACAUCGAGUUGAUGUGGGAGGGAAAGAGAGUGGGAGGACCUGUCAGCUUGCCGGUGGGUGGUGACUACAUGGAGCAUUGAGAAGUGGGAUGUGUAGCUGCUGGUACGGCUGGACGUCGGGGGCGAGCUUUUGGCUCAGCCCGAGUUUUUCGCAGCUCGCCGCUGCUGGAGAAGUUUACCCACCUGCCAGUGACACACACAUGCUCAGCUCGCGAGUUGCUCCGAGCUGCACCGAGCUUUGCACAAGCUCAGGCCGAGCCCCUUUUUCCGGCUUGUGAGACAAACGAGCCAGCUCGAGCUGAGCUAUUUGGUAGCGAGCUAAAGUGCAGCUCGCACCGAGCCCAGCCCGAGCUGGCUCGUGUCCAGCCUUAGCUGCUGGCAGGGCCAUUGCAACUGAGAAGUGAGAAGUAUCUAGCUGGAUUUAGCAGCACCAAGUUCAAGGUUAUUGGAUCAUUGUGCUCUACCUGUAUGAAGGCAGGCCUAAAUGGCUUAGAUCCUUUUCACUCAUGGAAUUGACAUGGUAGUAUGUCAUGAAGUGGAGGUGGAACAUGUCGUCAUCUACUCAUUUGCACCUCAAGUUUAUUAUUACCAAGACACUUGUAUUGUGUAUGAAAGAGCGGAGAUGCUUGUGAACUGUAUGCUAGGUCACUGAUUUCAUUCACAUCACGACAGCAGAUUAUUAUCAUGGAUAAGAGUAUCCUAAAUAGUAAUGUUCUCUUCUUGGUCGCUGAUGCGGUAUAGGCUGGUUUUGCUGUUUCUGUCGCUGGUGGCAGCCUAUGUUGCUCGGUGAACGCCGAAUAAGAGGCCACAUUUGGACUGAAACACUCAAGCACCACACCGGCUUGAGCAUGCUACAACCAAUGCAACCUGCCAAGGUCCUUCUCGUCUCGCCCACCUUUGCCCCUGAGAGCAAGCUGGAGGCUCCUCAAAGCAUGUGGCCUGAAUCCGGCAUAGCAUCUUGUUUGCUGGCUAGUCAUUAGAAGGUUGUGGGAAACAACCUGAUGAAAAGUUGAUGCAAGACACUUUGAAGAGCAUGAGAAAUCCUAGCUCAUGUAUGGUAGAUCCUUCAGUGGAGGUGACCAAGAAUAACCACGACGAUGGAAAGGGCAUGAUGUUUUGGCUCCAGUGCUGCUGCUGAUUGGCUUUGGCUACACACCUUGGCAAAAACAAGGACGAAACCCUCCCAUGCUAUGUCAUAAGGAAGCCGAAAGGACCGAGUAUGAAUAAGAGGCUCUUUCCUUGGCUUUCUGCUCUGUCAGCUACCUCGACACCGUGGGCGCCGUGACCAUAACUGCAACUGCAUCAAGUGCUAUUUCAGAUGAUCUUGGUUCAAAUUAUCAGUGGCUAUACCUAUUUUAGAGCGGCCUAGCCUUGCCGUCCAUCUCUUUGAAGCGGGGUUUGCUGGUCAAGCACAUGCGGUGCAUGGACGCAGAAUUGGCCGGGCGGGUACUUCUGGCGUCACGAGAAGCCCUGUCAAGAAUUUGUUUGAUCCGUUGUCAUGUAACCUGUCCACCCAUGGUGCUGAUCUGCUAUUGUAGGAUACCGAAUUGGUCUGUGCGUUCUGAAAUAGGAUUUUUGUCUUGAUGUCGUUUUGUUUGGUUCCAUGCCCAAUAUGUUAUCUGCAUAGAUUCUCAGGCUUGACACACCUGACGAUUUUGUACAAGUUAAGCCUUGAUAAAUUAUUGCCUAGCUUGCUUGUUAUAUGAUGUUGCUGCUAUGCAA